CAUGCACAAAAUUGACCGAAAAUAAACACGAAUAGCAACAGCCAACACCAACAGAGAAGCAAUCGGCAAAAAUGCAACUGGGAAGACAAAAUAUGGAAGGAAAAAAAUCAAUACCUGCGGCUGGUAGUGGUGGCUGUGAUGGCAGAGUGAUGGACUGAUGGUGGAUGACAAAGUGGCAAUGGAGAGUUGGAGACGGUGGCACUGACGCUGACGGCGCCGGAGGGGGAUGCACUGCGCUGCUGCCGCUGCACGAACGACUCCCGUCACAGCCGCAACUGAGCAAAACCGAGUCAGCAAAUGCAAACGAGAAGAGAUGAUGCCGACUGACGAGUGGCGAGGGGCGACGGUGACGGACUGACGGUGGGUGCUAGCCGACGGUGACGGUGGCAGCGUCGCUGCUCAGCUUAUGCCUUUGGGUUGGGUGUUUUACGAUUUGGGGAAUUAGGGAUUUUCGGAUUUGGUUUUGUGAUUUGGGUUUGGGUAGGUAACUGGUUUAGUUUUUUUUUUUUUUUUCAAUUGCCUUUGGGUUGGGUGUUUUGCGAUUUGGGGAAUUAGGGAUUUUCGGAUUUGG
rnacentral:lncRNA from 1 species